AAAAGGGCUAAAAUAAAUUAAGAAAUGCAGAAAAAAGAACAUUUAAAACUAAACACUGGGGCAUAAGGGGAGACACUAGCCAAAGGCAAGUGAAAAGAGGUGGGUCUUUAAAAGGGACUUAAAAACAUUUAGACUGAGCUGAACGGAUGUGGAGGGGGAGGCAGUUCCAGAGUCUAGGGGCUUCCACUGAAAAGGCUCUGUCCCCCCUAGUUUUCAGCCUGGCCCUGGGUUCUUCCAGCCGCAGUUGGUCUGCUGACCGUAGUGCUCUGGAAGGGGAAUGGUGAUGGAGAAGAUCAGACAGUGCAGGUGAGGAGUCGGGCAGCUGAGUUCUGAACCAACUGCAGGCGGCGGAGCUGGGAUUGAUCGAUGCAAGUGUAGAGAGCAUUACAGUAGUCCAGUUGUGAUGUGAUGAAGGCAUGGAUGACUCUCUCAAGAUCGCUCUGGGGCAGGUUUGAAAAGAUUAUCAGUGGCAGGUAUCUUAGGUGGCUCGACUUGGUGAAGAUGGCUACGAGCAAAUUGUUUAAUGGCACCAUACCAGAAAGUUGCUUCAACCCUAUGGCUUUUAGACUGAAUUCAUGUCUGCCAU